rnacentral:snRNA from 1 species
AUGGCUUCUCGGCCUUUUGGCUAAGAUCAAGUGUAGUUUCUGUUCUUAUCAGUUUAAAAAGGGUACAGGGAUUAUUUAAGCCUGACAUGGCUAGGGAUAUGGAACAUGGGAAGGAACAGAAAUCAGCAAGACAAUUAUUUUCAGUUUAUCUGAAGCAUGUAAAGAAGAGAGGACGAAAAACAACCAUGACUUACUUUUAACACAAUGCUUUGGCCACAUGUUUCAGAACAUAUUUGCAAUUUUU